rnacentral:tRNA from 1 species
GGCCCUGUGGCCUAAUGGAUAAGGCGUCGGUUUCCGGCGCCGAAGACUGCAGGUUCAAGUCCUGCCAGGGUCG